rnacentral:sRNA from 1 species
UGUGGUGUUGUUAUCUAUUUGUUCUCCAUCUUCUUCUCUUCGACUUUCUUCUAGGGUGAACACAAUAGACCUAAUUUCUCCGAGUGAAGCGGCUAGCAACAAAAUGACUCUAACCUAACCUAACCUAUCUACGCAUGAGGGCCGCAAGGGUCUUGGAGAUGGCAUACGACUGGGCUAGAUCAUGGAAUCUGUAUGUUAAGCCAGAGAAAAUAAAAAAACUUGAGAGUGAUCUUGGAUAGAAAAUUUAACUGAAAGUGUCACACUCAAGACCAUGCUGGGAAAUCUCACAGAUGUUGAAGAAUAUAUAGCAUCGAAAUGGAUCCAGAAUUCAAGCAACCGCAGCUAUUCAUGUAAUGACUAAUAUUGGAUGCGAAACAGCCUUAAUGUAGAAGGGUCUAAGUUCCUAUUAUCUCAACAGGUGAAAUGGGCCUUCCGUUG